GCCGGGUGUCCUGCUGCGCUGCCCCCGCGGCGGGGCCGGGAAUAUCAGAAAGCCAAGAGAACAUGCUCCCAAAGAAACUGUUUGGAUUAUCUGGAGAAUAGGUGUCACAGGUUCAGAGAAAAAGGAAAAGUCACUGCAGUAACUAUUUUGAUGUCACCUUGCUUUGUAAUCCUUCCCCAUGUAAAUGAGGAGACAAGAUUUUAAUUCUGAAUGAGCCCAUCUAUUUUGAGAUUUCUUCUGCAGUAAAUGACUAGGGAUUCUAACAGCAAAGCUUCCUCCAUUGCAUACCGUCUUAAUCAUUUGCAGACCAGGUUUGUCCUCUAGAAUGAAUGAGGAAGAGGUGGUAAAGUAAUUAAGACUGGAUUUGUGUCUCAUUGCUGAUUGAAUUUUAGCUUAAUUAUACUAAGGCUGAAUGAAGUAUUAACUCAUUGUAAACAUUGGAGAUCGUUUCUUGGAGAGACAUGUUUGUGAGUGACCUAACUAGGAACACUUCACUCAGAGUUUGUAUUUCAUCACAUAAUUACACUUGCAAUUUUUGAUACUGACAGCAAGGAAUUGAGAAUAAAGAAGUCACUCUAAGGGAUUUAAUAAUAAUAUAUAAAGUUUAUUUUAUUUAAACUUUAUGAAGGUAGUGAGUAACUUUUCUUUGCUGCUGGGUGAAGGCUGUUUGCAGUGCAGAGGAAAGGAUCAGGGAGUUGGAAAGGGUUAUGAGAGAAAGUAACAAUGUAUUUGCAGUUAUAUUGUUUACAUGGGUUAUACUGACUUAAGCAGUUACCUGAGUUCAUGCUAAAUGAAGUAUCUUCUGCAAUCCAAACCUGAUGAGAAAUCAGAAAUAAAAUUUCUGAAAAUUAUGUUUGAUUUGAGAAAUAUAUUGUGUAUCAGAUAUUUGU